GUGGAUUGGCGCUGCCAUAGGGGAUCGUCGGGCUCAUAACCCGAAGGUCGCAGGUUCAAAUCCUGCC
rnacentral:tRNA from 1 species